GCUGGGCAUGAUGGCACACGCCUGUAGUCCCAGCUACUUGAGAGACUGAGGCAGGAGGAUCAGUUGAGCCCAGGAUGUGCACUGUGCCUGUUGGGUGUGUGCAUUAAGCUCAGCAUCAGUAUAGUGACCUCCUGGGAGUGUGGGCCCACCAAGUUGCCUAAGGAGAGGUGAACCAGCCCAGUUGGAAAUGGAGCAGGUCAGAACUCCUGUGCUGAUCAGUAGUGGGUCACACCUGUAAAAAGCUGCUGCACUCCCGCCUGGGUAACGUAGUGAGACCCUGUCGCU
rnacentral:SRP_RNA from 1 species